GGGGCCUACGCUGGCGGCGUGCCUAAUACAUGCAAGUCGAGCGAAUGGAUUAAGAGCUUGCUCUUAUGAAGUUAGCGGCGGACGGGUGAGUAACACGUGGGUAACCUGCCCAUAAGACUGGGAUAACUCCGGGAAACCGGGGCUAAUACCGGAUAACAUUUUGAACUGCAUGGUUCGAAAUUGAAAGGCGGCUUCGGCUGUCACUUAUGGAUGGACCCGCGUCGCAUUAGCUAGUUGGUGAGGUAACGGCUCACCAAGGCAACGAUGCGUAGCCGACCUGAGAGGGUGAUCGGCCACACUGGGACUGAGACACGGCCCAGACUCCUACGGGAGGCAGCAGUAGGGAAUCUUCCGCAAUGGACGAAAGUCUGACGGAGCAACGCCGCGUGAGUGAUGAAGGCUUUCGGGUCGUAAAACUCUGUUGUUAGGGAAGAACAAGUGCUAGUUGAAUAAGCUGGCACCUUGACGGUACCUAACCAGAAAGCCACGGCUAACUACGUGCCAGCAGCCGCGGUAAUACGUAGGUGGCAAGCGUUAUCCGGAAUUAUUGGGCGUAAAGCGCGCGCAGGUGGUUUCUUAAGUCUGAUGUGAAAGCCCACGGCUCAACCGUGGAGGGUCAUUGGAAACUGGGAGACUUGAGUGCAGAAGAGGAAAGUGGAAUUCCAUGUGUAGCGGUGAAAUGCGUAGAGAUAUGGAGGAACACCAGUGGCGAAGGCGACUGUCUGGUCUGUAACUGACACUGGAGGCGCGAAAGCGUGGCGAGCAAACAGGAGUAGAUACCCUGGAUACUCCACCCCGUAAACGAUGAGUGCUAAGUGUUAAAGGGGUUUCCGCCACUUUAGUGCUGAAGCUAACGGCAUUAAGAACUCCCCCAGGAAACU
rnacentral:rRNA from 1 species